UGUGGUUGACGAAGGUUACCAUGACAACGGUUCGGUCCAUCCUGGGCGGGGACAGUUCCAUCAACUGGGAGGAGGAAAGAUGGAGGGCAGAGGAGUUACCGACAACGGCAGAAUAAAUUAUGGGAAAGACGGACGGACAGAGAGACGGGAAAGGAGGAAGACAGGAGGCCGAAGACGACGAGGAAGGAGAAAGAGGCAGCAGAUCCCCCACCCGUCUGAGCGCCUGGUUGAUGGAGCGGACGAUGUUGGAGUUGAGAGACUUCCUUCUCU